CCUACGGGAGGCAGCAGUGGGGAAUAUUGCACAAUGGGCGAAAGCCUGAUGCAGCAACGCCGCGUGAGCGAUGAAGGCCUUAGGGUCGUAAAGCUCUGUCCUCAAAGAAGAUAAUGACGGUACUUGAGAAUGAUGCCCCGGCUAACUACGUGCCAGCAGCCGCGGUAAUACGUAGGGGGCUAGCGUUAUCCGGAGUUACUGGGCGUAAAGGGGGCGUAGGUGGUUUCUUAAGUCAGAGGUGAAAGGCUACGGCUCAACCGUAGUAAGCCUUUGAAAAUGGGGAACUUGAGUGCAGGAGAGGAGAGUGGAAUUCCUAGUGUAGCGGUGAAAUGCGUAGAGAUUAGGAGGAAAACCAGUUGCGAAGGCGGCUCUCUGGACUGUAACUGACACUGAGGCACGAAAGCGUGGGGAGCAAACAGGAUUAGAUACCCCGAGUAGUC
rnacentral:rRNA from 1 species